rnacentral:rRNA from 1 species
UACGUAGGUGGCAAGCGUUGUCCGGAAUUACUGGGUGUAAAGCGCGUGUAGGCGGCAGACCAAGUCGGCGGUGAAAGCGCCCGGCUCAACUGGGCGAGGUCCGUGGAAACUGGUCAGCUGGAGGACGGUAGAGGCGAGUGGAAUUCCCGGUGUAGUGGUGAAAUGCGUAGAGAUCGGGAGGAACACCUGUGGCGAAGGCGGCUCGCUGGGCCGGUCCUGACGCUGAGACGCGAAGGCGUGGGGAGGCGAACGGG